rnacentral:rRNA from 1 species
AUUGAACGCUGGCGGCAUGCCUUACACAUGCAAGUCGAACGGUAACGGGCCUUCGGGUGCCGACGAGUGGCGAACGGGUGAGUAAUGUAUCGGAACGUACCUUUCAGUGGGGGAUAACGUAGCGAAAGUUACGCUAAUACCGCAUAUUCUGUGAGCAGGAAAGCAGGGGAUCGCAAGACCUUGCGCUGAUUGAGCGGCCGAUAUCAGAUUAGCUAGUUGGUGAGGUAAAGGCUCACCAAGGCGACGAUCUGUAGCGGGUCUGAGAGGAUGAUCCGCCACACUGGAACUGAGACACGGUCCAGACUCCUACGGGAGGCAGCAGUGGGGAAUUUUGGACAAUGGGGGCAACCCUGAUCCAGCCAUGCCGCGUGAGUGAAGAAGGCCUUCGGGUUGUAAAGCUCUUUCGGCCGGGAAGAAAUCGUAUGGGCUAAUACCCUGUGCGGAUGACGGUACCGGCAUAAGAAGCACCGGCUAACUACGUG